UUUAAUGAACUGCAGCUGAAAAGUGACAGUUCUCUAUACACCCACAGGCAAAUAUAGUUGUGUGUCAAUGGGACCUUCAGUAUGUUGCCCCAUCAACAUGCCACAACCAUCUGGAGGAACCACCUCAGGAAGUAAGUAUGUAGUUCAGUCUCCAUGUCCAGUCAGUCAUUGGCCUCU
rnacentral:sRNA from 1 species